AUUGAACGCUGGCGGCAGGCUUAACACAUGCAAGUCGAGCGGAGACUUCGGUCUUAGCGGCGAACGGGUGAGGAAUGCCUGGGAAUCUGCCUGGUAGUGGGGGAUAACGUUCCGAAAGGAACGCUAAUACCGCAUACGUCCUACGGGAGAAAGCAGGGGACCUUCGGGCCUUGCGCUAUCAGAUGAGCCCAGGUCGGAUUAGCUAGUAGGUGAGGUAAAGGCUCACCUAGGCGACGAUCCGUAGCUGGUCUGAGAGGAUGAUCAGCCACACUGGAACUGAGACACGGUCCAGACUCCUACGGGAGGCAGCAGUGGGGAAUA
rnacentral:rRNA from 1 species